GCGAGUCAGGCGUGGAGUCCGGUGACCGCUUCGUUCACACCGAAGAGGUCACUGGUUCGAACCCAGUAUCGCCCA
rnacentral:tRNA from 1 species